GAGUUUGAUUCUGGCUCACGAUGAACGCUAGCGGCAGGCCUAAUACAUGCAAGUCGAACGAAGUCUUCGGACUUAGUGGCGCACGGGUGCGUAACGCGUAUGCAACUUACCUCCUACAGGGGAAUAACUUUCCGAAAGGGAAGCUAAUACCGCGUAAUAAAUGAGUAGGCAUCUAUUUAUUUUAAAAGUUUCGGCGGUAGGAGAUGGGCAUGCGUGUCAUUAGCUAGUUGGUGAGGUAAAGGCUCACCAAGGCGACGAUGACUAGGGGUUCUGAGAGGAAGAUCCCCCACACUGGUACUGAGAUACGGACCAGACUCCUACGGGAGGCAGCAGUAAGGAAUAUUGGGCAAUGGACGAAAGUCUGACCCAGCCAUGCCGCGUGCCGGAUGACGGCCCUCUGGGUUGUAAACGGCUUUUCUCAGGGAAGAACCCUUCUAUGCGUAGAAGUUUGACGGUACCUGAGGAAUAAGCACCGGCUAACUA
rnacentral:rRNA from 1 species